rnacentral:rRNA from 1 species
GAUCAUGGCUCAGGAUGAACGCUGGCGGCGCGCCUAACACAUGCAAGUCGAACGGCACCUGCCCUCGGGCAGAAGCGAGUGGCGAACGGCUGAGUAACACGUGGAGAACCUGCCCCCUCCCCCGGGAUAGCCGCCCGAAAGGACGGGUAAUACCGGAUACCCCCGGGGGUGCCGCAUGGCACCCCGGCUAAAGCCCCGACGGGAGGGGAUGGCUCCGCGGCCCAUCAGGUAGACGGCGGGGUNACGGCCCACCGUGCCGACAACGGGUAG